rnacentral:rRNA from 1 species
GACGAACGCUGGCGGCGUGCUUAACACAUGCAAGUCGAACGGAAAGGCCCUGCUUUUGUGGGGUGCUCGAGUGGCGAACGGGUGAGUAACACGUGAGUAACCUGCCCUUGACUUUGGGAUAACUUCAGGAAACUGGGGCUAAUACCGGAUAGGAGCUCCUGCUGCAUGGUGGGGGUUGGAAAGUUUCGGCGGUUGGGGAUGGACUCGCGGCUUAUCAGCUUGUUGGUGGGGUAGUGGCUUACCAAGGCUUUGACGGGUAGCCGGCCUGAGAGGGUGACCGGCCAAAUUGGGACUGAGGUACGGCCCAGACUCCAACGGGAGGCAGCAGUGGGGAAUAUUGCACAAUGGGCGGAAGCCUGAUGCAGCAACGCCGCGUGCGGGAUGACGGCCUUCGGGUUGUAAACCUCUUUCGCCUGUGACGAAGCGUGAGUGACGGUAAUGGGUAAAGGAGCACCGGCUAACUACGU